rnacentral:rRNA from 1 species
UACGGAGGGUGCGAGCGUUGUCCGGAAUCACUGGGCGUAAAGGGCGCGUAGGCGGCAUGCCAAGCGUGUGGUGAAAGCCCGGGGCUCAACCCCGGGUCGGCCGUGCGGACUGGCGUGCUCGAGCACUGUAGGGGCGGGUGGAAUUCCGGGUGUAGCGGUGGAAUGCGUAGAGAUCCGGAAGAACACCGGUGGCGAAGGCGGCCCGCUGGGCAGAGACUGACGCUGAGGCGCGACAGCGUGGGGAGCAAACAGG